CCAGCAGCCGCGGUAAUUCCAGCUCUAAUAGCGUAUAUUAAAGUUGUUGCAGUUAAAACGCUCGUAGUCUGAUGUAAUGGGGACUGGUGUGGGGAGCAGCAAUGCUCUUUGCUUCGGUCCUCAUCAAAGGGACAGCAAUGUCCCAUUUUACUUUGAGGAAAUUAGAGUGUUCAAAGCAGGCGAUUGCUUGAAUACUGCAGCAUGGAAUAAUGGAAUAGGACUCGCGUCUUAUUUUGUUGGUUUGGAGAUGUGAGUAAUGAUGAAUAGGGACAGUUGGGGCCGUUUAUAUUCCGUUGUCAGAGGUGAAAUUCUUGGAUUUACGGAAGAUAAACUUCUGCGAAAGCAUUCGGCAAGGAUGUUUUCAUUGAUCAAGAACGAAAGU
rnacentral:rRNA from 1 species